UAAUGCCAGGGGAGUUCCCGUGGUGGCGCAGUGGUUAACGAAUCCAACUAGGAACCAUGAGGUUGCGGGUUUGGUCCCUGCCCUUGCUCAGUGGGUUAACGAUCCGGCGUUGCCGUGAGCUGUGGUGUAGGUUGCAGACGCGGCUCGGAUCCCGCGCUAGGGGUCAAGUUGGAGCUGCAGCGGCUGUUCUAUGCCACAGCAACGCCAGAUCUGACCUGUGUCUGUAACUUACACCAAAGCUCACAGCAGUGCUGGAUCCUUAACCCACUGAGCGAGGCCGAGGAUUGAACCCGUGUCCUCAGGGAUCCUAGUUGAGUUUGUUACUGCUGAGCCAUGAUGGGAACUCCUCACUUUUCUUAUUCUUCACAUUUCAGCCCAUUGGAGAGUCCUGUUGGUUUUAACUCUAACAUAUAUCUUGAAUCCAUCUACAGCAGUCAUUCUCUACUUUCACCACUCCAGUUGAUGCCAGCAUCAUUUCUUGUCUAGACUCUAGUGACCUCUAAUUGGUCCCCUUGUUAACCCUCCAGUUAUUCUUCAUGUGGUAGCCAUACAAAUCUUAAAGUUUAGGAAGACAGAAUUGCCUUCUUUGCUUAAAACCUUCCAGUGGUAUCUGACCUUUACGCUUCUCCGAGAUCUGUAAGACUACAUGGUUUGGUCCCUGCCUCUACUUCUUCAUCUCAUGCCUCAUUCUGCUUAGCCAUGGUGGCAUAUCUUUUUUUCCUUGAACUUGUCAAGCUCUUCCUCACCAAAGGACGUUUGCCUUGCUUUUCUCUCUGUUCUUCUCUUUGACUUCUUAACAUUUGGAUCUCAGCUCAAAUGUCACCUUCUCAGAGAGCCUUUCCUGAUAACCCUAUCUUUAUCAUUUCACUUUAUUUCCUUCAAAGUGAUUAUUAUAAUACCAUGUUAAAUAAUUAGUGAAAGGCUAUGACAGACUUAGCCAGGGGAAUGAUAAAUAAAGUGGCUGAUAUUUGAGAAGACAUGUAAAAAAUACUACAUGCAGGGGGAAGAAAAAAUCUGCAAGUCAAAUACAAGUCUGGACUUGUAUCCAGAAUAUAUAUAGAACUCUCAAAACUCAACAAUAAGAAAAA
rnacentral:lncRNA from 1 species